GACGGAGGAUGCAAGCGUUAUCCGGAAUGAUUGGGCGUAAAGCGUCCGCAGGUGGCAGUUCAAGUCUGCUGUCAAAGACCGGGGCUUAACUUCGGAAAGGCAGUGGAAACUGAACAGCUAGAGUAUGGUAGGGGCAGAGGGAAUUCCUGGUGUAGCGGUGAAAUGGGUAGAUAUCAGGAAGAACAUCGGUGGCGAAGGCGCUCUGCUGGACCAUAACUGACACUCAGGGACGAAAGCUAGGGGAGCGAAUGGG
rnacentral:rRNA from 1 species